rnacentral:rRNA from 1 species
AAUACAUAGCAAGUCGAGCGAGAAGGCGUAGCAAUACGCUUGUAAAGCGGCGAACGGGUGAGGAAUACAUGGGUAACCUACCCUCGAGAGGGGAAUAACUCGCCGAAAGGUGAGCUAAUACCGCGUACGAUCCUUGGUCGCAAGGCGAAGGAUGAAAGCUGCACCGUGGGUGUGGCGCUCGAGGAUGGGCUCAUGUCCUAUCAGCUUGUUGGUGAGGUAACGGCUCACCAAGGCUACGACGGGUAGCUGGUCUGAGAGGACGAUCAGCCACACUGGCACUGCGACACGGGCCAGACUCCUACGGGAGGCAGCAGUAAGGAAUAUUGCGCAAUGGACGACAGUCUGACGCAGCGACGCCGCGUGGGGGAUGAAGGUCUUCGGAUUGUAAACCCCUUUCGGGUGGAAAGAUGGCUCUCGACAACGAGAGCGGACGGUACCACCAGAAGCAGCCACGGCCAACUUCGUGCCAGCAGCCGCGGUAAUACGAAGGUGGCAAGCGUUGUUCGGAUUCACUGGGCGUACAGGGUGUGUAGGCGGUUCGGUAAGCCCUCUGGGAAAGCUCCUGGCUCAACCGGGAAAGUUCAGGGGGGACUGCCGGGCUAGAGGACGGGAGAGGAGCGCGGAAUUCCCGGUGUAGCGGUGAAAUGCGUAGAUAUCGGAAGAGAAAAAGGCCCA